rnacentral:rRNA from 1 species
AGUGAACGCUGGCGGUAGGCCUAACACAUGCAAGUCGAACGGCAGCACAGUAAGAGCUUGCUCUUACGGGUGGCGAGUGGCGGACGGGUGAGGAAUACAUCGGAAUCUACUUUUUCGUGGGGGAUAACGUAGGGAAACUUACGCUAAUACCGCAUACGACCUACGGUUGAAAGCAGUGGAUCUUCGGAUCUUGCGCGAUUGAAUUAGCCGAUGUCGGAUUAGCUAGUUGGCGGGGUAAAGGCCCACCAAGGCGACGAUCCGUAGCUGGUCUGAGAGGAUGAUCAGACACACUGGAACUGAGACACGGGCCAGACUCCUACGGGAGGAAGCAGUGGGGAAUAUUGGAAAAUGGGCGCAAGCCUGAUCCAGCCAUACCGCGUGGGUGAAGAAGGCCUUCGGGUUGUAAAGCCCUUUUGUUGGGAAAGAAAAGCAGCAGGUUAAUACCCCGCUGUUCUGACGGUACCCAAAGAAUAAGCACCGGCUAACUUCGUG